AAUAAAUUUAUUAACAAAAUCAGUUAGAAAUUUAUAUAGCGUCAGUAGGCUUGCACAUACCAUGAUAUACUCCAAUAAUAAAAGGCAUUGUGUAAACAUCAAUUUCUUCAAUUGAUGCCAAAAUCGGCCAAAAUUGACUACCGGAACUCUUACAAAGUGACCAGAAGAAAAGUGUACAUAGCAACCACAGCCUACACCUCUAAAAUUAACGGACGCAUUUCGUGGGGUUUCAAGUAAGACUCUGACAAUAUUAGGUAAUUCAAUAUGACCGUGUUUUUUUAGAAUCAAAGGUAAUUUGUUAGCUGUAUUAUGUGAAAUGUUCUCUUCAAUGAUUAAUUUUUGUAAAUCUGUUCGUAAAUUUGUUUAAUUUAUACAAUCGCUAAUAUCUGCCAAUGUAGGAGUGUCAUCUUUAUCAAAUGAAGAUCGUGAUUCAAUAUCACAUUCUUCAUCAAAUGAAGAACAUGAUUCAAUAUCUACCGGAGAAAGUGCUAUGUUCCGAACAAUCGAUUGUAUUGAAGAAUCUUUAUAACAAUGCAAUUCACAAUUAAUUAACCGGUUCCUUCAUCUUUUUGAUAAAUACCGUAUGUCCUUAGACAUGAUGCAGAGAGAUUGUGGUUAUUCAAGAAGGCUAUAAAAAUUUUACAUAAAAAAAUAUUUUUUUAAUGUUGUA